rnacentral:rRNA from 1 species
UGGGGAAUAUUGCACAAUGGGCGCAAGCCUGAUGCAGCCAUGCCGCGUGUAUGAAGAAGGCCUUCGGGUUGUAAAGUACUUUCAGUCGGGAGGAAGGUGGUAAGGUUAAUAACCUUAUCAAUUGACGUUACCGACAGAAGAAGCACCGGCUAACUCCGUGCCAGCAGCCGCGGUAAUACGGAGGGUGCAAGCGUUAAUCGGAAUUACUGGGCGUAACGCGCACGCAGGCGGUUGAUUGAGUCAGAUGUGAAAUCCCCGGGCUUAACCCGGGAAUUGCAUCUGAUACUGGUCAGCUAGAGUCUUGUAGAGGGGGGUAGAAUUCCAUGUGUAGCGGUGAAAUGCGUAGAGAUGUGGAGGAAUACCGGUGGCGAAGGCGGCCCCCUGGACAAAGACUGACGCUCAGGUGCGAAAGCGUGGGGAGCAAACAGG